rnacentral:rRNA from 1 species
GACGAACGCUGGCGGCGUGCUUAACACAUGCAAGUCGAGCGAUGAAGCCCUUCGGGGUGGAUUAGCGGCGGACGGGUGAGUAACACGUGGCCAACCUGCCUUAUAGAGGGGGAUAGCCUUCCUAAAGGAAGAUUAAUACCGCAUAAUAUGCAAUUCUCGCAUGCGAGAUGUAUCAAAGGAGCAAUCCGCAAGAAGAUGGGCCCGCGGCGCAUUAGGUAGUUGGUGCGGUAACGGCUCACCAAGGCGAAGAUGCGUGGCCGACCUGAGAGGGUGAUCGGCCACAUUGGAACUGAGACACGGUCCAGACUCCUACGGGAGGCAACAGUGGGGAAUAUUGCACAAUGGGGGAAACCCUGAUGCAGCAACGCCGCGUGAGUGAUGAAGGCCUUCGGGUUGUAAAGCUCUUUGAUUAGGGACGAUAAUGACGGUACCUAAAGAACAAGCCACGGCUAACUACGUGCCAGCCGCCGCGGUAACAC